UAGGGAAUCUUCGGCAAUGGACGAAAGUCUGACCGAGCAACGCCGCGUGAGUGAUGAAGGUUUUCGGAUCGUAAAACUCUGUUGCCAGGGAAGAAAGAUGGGGAGAGUAACUGCUCUUCAAGUGACGGUACCUGAGAAGAAAGCCCCGGCUAACUACGUGCCAGCAGCCGCGGUAAUACGUAGGGGGCAAGCGUUGUCCGGAAUUAUUGGGCGUAAAGCGCGCGCAGGCGGUCAUUUAAGUCUGGUGUAUAAACCAAGGGCUCAACCUUUGGACGCAUUGGAAACUGGGCGACUGGAGUGUAGGAGAGGAAAGUGGAAUUCCACGUGUAGCGGUGAAAUGCGUAGAGAUGUGGAGGAACACCAGUGGCGAAGGCGACUUUCUGGCCUAUAACUGACGCUGAGGCGCGAAAACGUGGGGAGCAAACAGG
rnacentral:rRNA from 1 species